rnacentral:rRNA from 1 species
CCUACGGGUGGCAGCAGUGAGGAAUAUUGGUCAAUGGGCGUAAGCCUGAACCAGCCAAGUCGCGUGAGGGAUGAAGGUUCUAUGGAUCGUAAACCUCUUUUAUAAGGGAAUAAAGUGUGGGACGUGUCCUAUUUUGUAUGUACCUUAUGAAUACGGAUCGGCUAACUCCGUGCCAGCAGCCGCGGUAAUACGGAGGCUCCGAUCGUUAUCCGGAUUUAUUGGGUUUAAAGGGUGCGUAGGCGGCCUUUUAAGUCAGCGGUGAAAGUCUGUGGCUCAACCAUAGAAUUGCCGUUGAAACUGGGGGGCUUGAGUAUGUUUGAGGCAGGCGGAAGGCGUGGUGUAGCGGUGAAAUGCUUAGAUAUCACGCAGAACCCCGAGUGCGAAGGCAGCCUGCCAAGCCAUGACUGACGCUGAUGCACGAAAGCGUGGGGAUCAAACAGGAUUAGAUACCCUAGUAGUC